UAUGUUUCAACUGGUUUCAACUGAUGGAAGGACUCAUGGGGCGAUUCUGCAAAGAGAAACCCCUAAAGGAGGCCACCUCAAUCCUGAAGCUUCUGCAUAUCCCUCUGCAGGACAGCAGCCUACACAAGGAUGCCACCAAAAUCAACCUGGGAUUCUCAGCUGAAACCUGUCUUAACCAACUGAAAUCCACCAACAAAAUAUCAGAGAGGCAGGUACUGGAACUUAAGAUGGAAUGCAAGACAUUCUUGAUCACAAUACUGGAGAAGCUACAGAAUAAGGCACCUGUGAACCACCAGCUAGUGAGAAGUAUGCAGUGCCUUGACCCAAGAUGCAUGGCUGAAUCCAAAGAAGUGUGCCUGGCUCAAAUGGAUGCUACACCACCUUGUUGGGGCUAACCAUGUGGAGGAGUCAGCGUGUGAUGACAUCCUUCGAGAAUUCGGAGAGUUUUGUGAUUUUGCUGCCCUUCAAGCCAGCUUCAGGGAGUUUGACCCCAAGACAGACAGAGUGGACACUCAACUACAUGAGACAAUGGGAACCAACAAAGCUUUCUCCAAGGUAUCGCAUGUGGUGAAGAUGCUACGAGUUCUCUCUCAUGGACAGGCGAGUGUUGAGAGAGGGUUCUCAAUCAACAAGGAGCUGAUUGUGGAGAAUCAGAAGGAGGCCUCUCUGGUUGCUCAGAGGCUCAUCGUUGGCCAUAUCAGAUCUGUUGGUGGUGUAACUAAUGUGCAACUCACCAAAGAGCAUUUGAUCUCGGUUUCUGGAGCAAGACAAAGGUACCACAACUACUUGGAUGACCAGAAGAGGGCCACUGAUAAGGAAAAGAGUGUGCAAAAAAGAAAGUCUCUUGCACAUGAGUUGAAUGAACUUAAAAAAAAGGGCCAGAGUAGAGAACGGCAUUGGGGCACUGGAGAAGUUGGCAGAUGAGUACGCUGACAAAGCUGAAUCCACUGGUAAACUGACUUUCAUCACAAAAUCAGUUCGCGUCGCACUGCCAAAGAAAAGAAAGCAUUUCUUCAAGACCUUGAAAAGCAAAUUGAUGAGAAGCUUGCUGAGAUGAAGCACUAAGCUGCCAUGUGACUGUUACCAUUUAAAAUGUUGUUAAAAGUGAAUACAAGGACACUCACAGUACCAAGAUUUGUUCCACAUUGAGUUCCAGACUUUGCAUAUUCCAUCUCUAAUUUUAGGUGUGGAAGUUCACUUUGGAAGAAUUAUUUAUUUUAUUUAUAUUAUGUGUUUUUUAUUUUGACAACUUAUAUACUGUGAGCUGGGGAAUCAGUAGUUAGCACUGGCAUUCCUACCCCAAUGCACUAUUUCUCUCUGUCUUUCUCAUUCAUUCUCUUUUUCUCAUGCUCUCUGAUAGAAAAUGUGAUGGCAUUUUAUUUAUCUUUUGAGACAUUGACAAAAAUGUUAAACUAUUCAAAUUAAAAUAUGAGAGAAUGUA